rnacentral:rRNA from 1 species
UACGAAGGGGGGCUAGCGUUGUUCGGAAUUACUGGGCGUAAAAGCGCACGUAGGCGGACAUUUUAAGUCAGGGGUGAAAUCCCGGAGCUCAACUCCGGAACUGCCUUUGAUACUGGGGUGUCUUGAGUGUGGAAGAGGUGAGUGGAAUUCCGAGUGUAGAGGUGAAAUUCGUAGAUAUUCGGAGGAACACCAGUGGCGAAGGCGGCUCACUGGUCCAUUACUGACGCUGAGGUGCGAAAGCGUGGGGAGCAAACAGG